UACGGGGGGGGCAAGCGUUGUUCGGAAUUACUGGGCGUAAAGCGCGCGUAGGCGGCUUUGUAAGUUAGAGGUGAAAGCCCGGGGCUCAACCCCGGAACUGCCUUUAAGACUGCAUCGCUUGAAUCCAGGAGAGGUGAGUGGAAUUCCGAGUGUAGAGGUGAAAUUCGUAGAUAUUCGGAGGAACACCAGUGGCGAAGGCGGCUCACUGGACUGGUAUUGACGCUGAUGUGCGAAAGCGUGGGGAGCAAACAGG
rnacentral:rRNA from 1 species